GGGGCUGUAGCUCAGUUGGGAGAGCGCGUCGUUCGCAAUGACGAGGUCGUCGGUUCGAUUCCGUCCAGCUCCA
rnacentral:tRNA from 1 species